AGUUCGGAUUGUAGUCUGCAACUCGACUACAUGAAGCUGGAAUCGCUAGUAAUCGCGAAUCAGCAUGUCGCGGUGAAUACGUUCCCGGGUCUUGUACACACCGCCCGUCACACCAUGGGAGUCGAUAACGCCCGAAGUCAGUGACCCAACCUGUAAGGAGGGAGCUGCCGAAGGCGGGAUUGAUAACUGGGGUGAAGUCGUAACAAGGUAGC
rnacentral:rRNA from 1 species